UCCGAUUCGCGCAUAUUCUUGAAUGAUUUUCGAAAGCACGCCGUUAGUGGGCAACCCCACCGCGAACUCCUACCCAUCUGCCGACGGGCGAUUGUAUGGGCGAAACUUUAACGCCGAUGACUAUAACGCCGAAGUGCGAGGGCAGCGCAUGAGGCAGUACUAUCACUCUGUGUUUCGCUCUGACGGCAUUGACGUGGCUGUGCGUAACGUCGCCGUGGUGCAGCGACCCUGGCUGCAACGCUUCUAUCCCAAUGGGCGUCGCGGUCGUAUUUGCUGCCAGGCUGUGUCUGCCCAGUUCAGGCGAGGGAGGCUGCACGUGGUGGCCGACGUGGACGGUAUUGCUGCGGCGUCGCUGAUGACGGUAAUAGCAGGGCGAGGUGCACAGGCGUCAGGGGAUAUCUGGGUCGGUGAUGCGGCUGUCGACGCGCAAACUCGACUGCGCCUCAUUGCCUACGUGGGGGCAGAGUCCCUCUUCGUCCCUCUCCUGUCAGUGAAGGACAAUUUGUGGUUUGUGGUGCAUCUCCACUGCAAGGAGCAGCGCACUUGGACGCGAGAGUUGGUGCUAGCAGCCGCCAACUUCGUCAGUCUCGAUCUCGGCAAGAAAGUCGCAGACCUCUCACAGUCGGAGAAGUUCCGCUUGCAGGUGGCGCUUGAGCUCGUGCUGGACCCACCGGUGCUGUUCUUUUCAUACCCUUUCGACGCCAUGGGUCUGGUAGAGCAAAACGAGUGCACCCAGCUUCUCUCCCGACUCUGCGUAGACGUGACGAAAACAGUGGUGCUGAGUACGCGAUCGAUGCCCAUGCCCCUGCACAGCGCUGCCGACACACUCCUCCUAUUUGGCGCUGGGGGAGUGGUACUGUUCUCCGGGAAGUGCCAAGACGCCAUAUCAUACUUCAACUCCCUUCGCAUACCGAGGCACAUACCGCAGCCGCUUUGGAAAGGAGUGCUGGGUCAUGGCGCGGAAGCACAAGCUGCCGAGGAGGAUCUGCGGACUUUCCACGCGCCAUCGCUCCCCCCUUCGGAUUCCAGCCCCUUUUCACAAAGGGGUGUGAAGGCGCCAGAGAGUCGCUUGUACUCAGUCAUAUGCACGCCGCCGCGACUUUCGUCGCGCGUUUUUCUGAUGGACGUCCUGAAUGACACGCCGCCGCCGCUCUACUGCCGUGCGGCUGAAGGGGGCAGUGCGUCAACCAGCGCCGUUGUGGAAGUGGCGACCAGCGGAGACCUGAUGGACUUGGCAGUGGAGUGGGCCGAGAGUGAGUCGCAGACCAUGUUCUACGCCGCCAAGUACUACGACUCAUCAGUGCAUGCGGCUCUCCUUUCGUCGCUGGACCCUGUCAACGCUCGAAGUGUUGCCACAACGCACACCUCGCCUCCCCCACCCCGUGCACUACCACAUGGCGUCUGGCGUUUUGGUGUGCUGCUCAGGUACACGCUAAAGCAGAUUCCGGCGGAUGCUGAGCUGCUGUUGGGCGUUGCGUUCCUUUCCAUCGGGCUGAUCGUUCUCACUGUGGCAGUGCACUCGCAGCCAGAGAAUCAAGGCGGCAUGUACAACAUCCGCGGGCUCAUCUUUAUAGCAUUUGUGCUUGUCCUUUUUUCAAACCUUGCCGCGAUCGAGAGCAUGCGUGAUCAACUCCGCGUUGCACUUGGCCACCGGAAGCGCAAGCUGUACGGGUCUCUGAGCUUUAUCGUGUGUCUCUGCGUCCGCAUUGUGCUCAUCCGCAGCGUCUACUUGGCCCUCUUCCUGCCAUUUGUACUAUUUGUCUUGCGCUCGUCUUACUCGCUGGCCAUAUUGGUUGGCCUCGUCACCUGCACCCACGCUGCCUUUCAGUAUUUGGUUACUCUGCUUCCCUCGCGGCGGUGGGUGACGUGGGUCUCGUACGCGUACUUUGGGUACAGCAUCAUUUUCUCAGGGUUUCUUCUGAACCUGCGCACACUUCCGCCUCUUCUCGGCGUUCUCAGCAUCCUGCGCUGGGGAUACGGUGCCGUGAUCUAUACUUGGCUGCAUGGUAAAUCAUUCCAGUGCGACGGGGCCGGGAACACCUCCUACUGCUACACCGGCGACGACUAUCUUGCCGUGGAGGGACUGGAAAAUGAAUCUGUCGCGUCUUCCGCCUUGAUUCUCGCCGUUUUGGGUGCUUCCAUGAUGGGGCUUCUACUUGUCUUGUGGUCACUGAGGAGUGUCUAGUCCGUUUGAAGUCCCUGCCGCUGCUCUGCACGCAUCG
rnacentral:misc_RNA from 1 species